rnacentral:tRNA from 1 species
GUCUUAGUAGUAUAAAAAUUACAUUGGUCUUGUAAACCAAAAACGAAAACCUUAAACUUUUCCUAAGACA